CCUCUAAAUUUCAGUAUCGAAUAUAACUUCUUCUGGUAGUGCCACCAUUCGUAGUUUCAUUCCAAGCUCAGCUCUUGCUUUUCCAUUUUUGCUUAUUUUCAAGACAUGGGUAAGCUUAAUUCUUCUUUAUUUCUUAUAAUUUCCACUCUUCUAUCUCUUAUUCUUUUAAAAUCCUUGCUACCCACAUCGAUGCUUUGCGUAAAAAUUCCAUGUCUGUGAGGGGAAAGCGAAAAAAGUAUGAUAGCUUUGAUAAUGUAUUGUCAUGUAUAAUAUAAAUUGAUCGAUGCACAUUGCAAGGACGGGAUGAUUGCUGACGCUGUACAUAUUUUUGGCACAAUGAGAAAGAAGGCAUUGAGUCUAAUGUUGUCACAUAAAAUAUAUUGGUUGAUGCGCAUUGCAAGCAAAGGAUGGUGUCUGAAGCUGAAUAUACUAUUGACACAAUGAGAAUGCAAGGCAUUGAUCCUGAUGUUUUUACCUAUAAUGCAUUAAUAAAUGGCCAUUGUUUGCAAAAGAGGAUGGAUAAAGCUAGAAGCAUACUUCAGUUGAUGAUUAAGAAGGGUUGUGGACCUCAUAUACUUAGUUAGAACAUCUUGAUCAAUGGAUACUGCAAAGCUAAAAGGCUAGACAAAGCAAUGGAACUCUUUCAUGAAAUAUCUCAAAGAGGACCAAUCCCGGAUACUGUCACAUACAGCACUCUUAUGCAAGGUAUGUAUCAAUUAGGGAGAACUUCAUCUGCAUGUGAACUUUUGAGGAAGAUGCCUUGCUUCUGGACAAGUUCCAGAUCUAGUGACUUGUUCGAUUUUGUUGGAUGGUUUUCGCAGAAGAGGUAAACUCCAAGAGGCAUUGAAACUUUUUCAAGCAAUGCGGAACAGCAAGUUGGAACUCAAUAUUGUAUGUUAUAACAUCUUCAUUGAUGGCUUGUGCAAAGCUGGGCAUAUUGAAGCUGGAAAGGAUAUUUCAUGAACUCUCAGUCAAUGGUUUAAAGCCCGAUGUUUACACAUAUGUUAUAAUGAUUAAUGGAUUCUGUAAAGAGGGAUUGCCAGAUGAAGCAUACCAGUUGUUUAGGAGUAUGGGAGAUAAUGAUUGUUUGCCUGAUAGGCGCUGUUAUAAUGUAAUUAUCCAGGGGUAUCUUUGAAACAUUUACACCUCAAAGGCAACACAUCUUCUUAAGUAUAUGGUUGGUAAGGGUUUCUCUGCAGAUUUAUGCACCGCCAUCUUAUUGAUGGAUCUGAUCUUGCGAUAUGAUAAAUCAAUUUUGAUUUGAAAUAUUUACCUACUGUGUAAAGAUCGUCACUUGCAAUUGUGAAUCAAUUUGUCCAUAACCAAUUGUACUGCUGUGAUAAGUUUAAAGUUUCUGGAAGUUACAAUGAGCAUUAAGGUUUAUUUUCAGCUUAGUUGAUGCACUUUGAAUAUUAAGGACGAAAGAAAUAAUUGUUCUACACCAUGUUUCACUCUUCACCAGUGAUCUUGUUGAGAAAAUUUCUUCUCAGACCUCUGUAGUAAGUAACAUAUCUUGUUCAUGGUAAUGUUGAAAUCCUAAAAAUCGGGGGAACAAUUGUGGACACUCUAUCCUGUAUGCAGUUGUAAUGAUAACCUCCACCUUUCUUCAUUUGGAUGGCUGUUUCCUGCCAAUUGGAGCUUGUAUUCAGCACCCAUGAGACUAUUUCAGACGAAUCCUUGACACUUCAACACUUCAGUGCAAAUGUUUAGAAAAGCUCAAUGACUCACUCACCAAAAGCUGAAGCAGUUGGCUGGUCUCAAUUGGCCGUAUAAUACUAUAAUUUAGGAAUAUAUUAAGAAAACGUUACUUCUAAUAUCUAGUGAGUUUUUUUUGGAAAUACUUAGCAUUAACCUUUUUGGUGCUACAUCUAUGCUGGUUUUGCUUUCCAGGUUAAGCUCAUUUGCUGCCAAAGUCUGCUGAGGAUGUUAUGUGUGGUCUUCUGCCAAAGUCUGCCUCAGCCACAUCCAGCAUAACAGACGGUGGUAUCAUAUGGGUCAGUGAAUGGAAUGUUCUACAACAACCUCUUGUUUGUAUUAUGAGAGAAAUAUACAUCGGUUCCAGGGACAACUUGAUGCAAGCAGAGAUAAUCAUAUAGCAGUGCCCUUAUUGUUGGCCUCCUCUAAAGUUUGGUCACUACCUCCCAUGCAGCUAAAUCUUUCACCUGAAGGAUAGACUUUCUGCUGCAAGUGGGUAUUAUAUGGGUCAGUGAACGGAAUGCUCUGCAGCAUCCUGUUAUUUACGUUAUGAGAGAAACAUAUCGGUUCCUGGAACAACUGGAUGCAAGCAGAGCCAAUUGUAUAACAGUGCCCACAUUGUUGGCCUCUCGAGUUUGGCCACUACCUGUUCUGCAGUUAAAUCUUUCACCUAAAGGAGUACUUUGAAGGAAGAAGUUCAUAACUUCACUGCAAGUAGAUAGUGUAAUUCAUUUUUAUUUUCAGGUAAACAAUUGCUUCGAAUUUAUUACUUUUUAUGAAAGAAAUUGCUUCGGAUUUAAAUUGUAUGGUUUAGGGAUAUAGGAAAAUUAUAGUGCAAUGUGACUACAGUUUGUUUUCAUCCAUUACUGAUUGCUUGCUGGAAUUGGAUUAUGGAUAAAUGAUACUUAUUUGAACUCUGAUGACUGUAUCAAAGUGAUCAUUGAAAGGAAUUUCAGCAUGCUUUUUCUGAUAAAGCUCUUCAGAACGAUUAAGUCUAACUUCUAAGGAUAAAGAAGUUG